UAAUAGCGUAUAUUAAAGUUGUUGCGGUUAAAAAGCUCGUAGUUGGAUUUCUGCUGAGAACGACCGGUCCGCCCUUUGGGUGUGUAUCUGGCUCUUUCUUGGCAUCUUCUUGGUGAACGUUGCUGCACUUGACUGUGUGGAGCGCUACCCAGGACUUUUACUUUGAGGAAAUUAGAGUGUUUCAAGCAGGCAUACGCCUUGAAUACAUUAGCAUGGAAUAAUAAGAUAGGACCUCGGUUCUAUUUUGUUGGUUUCUAGAGCUGAGGUAAUGAUUAAUAGGGAUAGUUGGGGGCAUUCGUAUUUAACUGUCAGAGGUGAUAUUCUUGGAUUUGUUAAAGACGGACUACUGCGAAAGCAUUUGCCAAGGAUGUUUUCAUUGA
rnacentral:rRNA from 1 species